rnacentral:rRNA from 1 species
GACGAACGCUGGCGGCGUGCCUAAUACAUGCAAGUUGAGCGAUGAAGAUUGGUGCUUGCACCAAUUUGAAGAGCAGCGAACGGGUGAGUAACGCGUGGGGAAUCUGCCUUUGAGCGGGGGACAACAUUUGGAAACGAAUGCUAAUACCGCAUAACAACUUUAAACAUAAGUUUUAAGUUUGAAAGAUGCAAUUGCAUCACUCAAAGAUGAUCCCGCGUUGUAUUAGCUAGUUGGUGAGGUAAAGGCUCACCAAGGCGAUGAUACAUAGCCGCCCUGAGAGGGUGAUCGGCCAGAUUGGGACUGAGACACGGCCCAAAGGCCUACGGGAGGCAGCAGUAGGGAAUCUUCGGCCAUGGGCGAAAGUCUGACCGAGCAACGCCGCGUGAGUGAAGAAGGAUUUCGGAUCGUAAAACUCUGUUGGUAGGGAAGAACGUUGGUGAGGGUGGAAAGCUCAUAAAGUGACGGUAACUACACAGAAAGGGACGGCUAACUACGUG